UUGCUAUGAUGAUUGUUGGAACUUCUUAAAGGUCACUUUGUACUUGAUGAAAGACCAAAUAAUGUUCCUGAGCGGUUACCUGAGCAG